UGGGGGUAAGAGCCUNCCAAGUCGACGGAUCAGUAGCUGGUCUGAGAGGACGAUCAGCCACACUGGGACUGAGACACGGCCCAGACUCCUACGGGAGGCAGCAGUGGGGAAUUUUGGACAAUGGGGGCAACCCUGAUCCAGCAAUGCCGCNNGUGNGAAGAAGGCCUUCGGGUUGUAAAGCACUUUUGUCCGGAAAGAAAUCGCGCUGGCUAAUACCUGGCGUGGAUGACGGUACCGGAAGAAUAAGCACCGGCUAACUACGUGCCAGCAGCCGCGGUAAUACGUAGGGUGCGAGCGUUAAUCGGAAUUACUGGGCGUAAAGCGUGCGCAGGCGGUUUUGUAAGACAGGCGUGAAAUCCCCGGGCUCAACCUGGGAAUUGCGCUUGUGACUGCAAGGCUAGAGUGC
rnacentral:rRNA from 1 species